CCCUAUUCCCUAUAUAGUGGUACUACAUUAGACCAGGGCCCUAUUCCCUAUAUAGUGCACUACUAUAGACCAGGGCCCUAUUCCCUAUAUAGUGCACUACUAUAGACCAGGGCCCUAUUCCCUAUAUAGUGCACCACUAUAGACCAGGGCCCUAUUCCCUAUAUAGUGCACCACUAUAGACCAGGGCCCUAUUCUCUAUAUAGUGCACCACUAUAGACCAGGGCCCUAUUCCUAUAUAGUGCACUACUAUAGACCAGGGCCCUAUUCCCUAUAUAGUGCACCACUAUAGACCAGGGCCCUAUUCCCUAUAUAGUGCACUACUAUAGACCAGGGCCCUAUUCCCUAUAUAGUGCACUACUAUAGACCAGGGCCCUAUUCCCUAUAUAGUGCACCACUAUAGACCAGGGCCCUAUUCUCUAUAUAGUGCACCACUAUAGACCAGGGCCCUAUUCUCUAUAUAGUGCACCACUAUAGACCAGGGCCCUAUUCUCUAUAUAGUGCACUACUUUAGACCAGGGCCCUAUUCCCUAUAUAGUGCACUACUAUAGACCAGGGCCCUAUUCCCUAUAUAGUGCACCACUAUAGACCAGGGCCCUAUUCUCUAUAUAGUGCACCACUAUAGACCAGGGCCCUAUUCUCUAUAUAGUGCACUACUAUAGACCAGGGCCCUAUUCCCUAUAUAGUGCACUACUAUAGACCAGGGCCCUAUUCCCUAUAUAGUGCACUACUAUAGACCAGGGCCCUAUUCCCUAUAUAGUGCACCACUAUAGACCAGGGCCCUAUUCUCUAUAUAGAGCACUACAUUAUGGACACAGAUUCAUGUAACUAAGUUAUUACAAAUAAUAAAGACGUCAACUCGAGACAGGAAUGUGAGAUUAGUUAUUCCCCAAAUUUUCACUCAAUUUUGACAUCUAUUUAAACAGGUUUACUGUCAGUUAAACAAACGAUGUAGUCCAGCUAACAUCUCAUAUAUUAACUCAGAUCUCAUGUGGGAUGGCAGGGUAGCCUAGUGGUUAGAGUGUAGAGGUGGCAGGGUAGCCUAGUGGUUAGAGUGUAGAGGUGGCAGGGUAGCCUAGUGGUUAGAGUGUAGAGGUGGCAGGGUAGUCUAGUGGUUAGAGUGUAUAGGUGGCAGGGUAGCCUAGUGGUUAGAGUGUAUAGGUGGCAGGGUAGCCUAGUGGUUAGAGUGUAUAGGUGGC
ensembl:lncRNA